rnacentral:lncRNA from 1 species
AUGGAAUUGAAAAGAAUAAUAGAAGAAGAAGGUCAGAAAUAUAAAAAAGACCUCAAGGAAAUUGAUGAAAGUACUAACAACUUGAUAGAGAAACUUAAAAAAUAUGUGAACAUAUCUGAAGUGAAUAUCGGAAAUCAGCCUGAGGAGACAGUAAAAGAAGAUAUAACAACAGGGCAAUUAUUGGCCGAAGAGGAUAUCAGUUUAGAUAUCACAAUUAAAAAAGAACAAGUAGAAGAAUUAGUAGAAGAGGAGAUCAGCAGUGGCAAACCUGCAAUGGGAAAAGCUUUUUCCUGGUUUUGUUAA